GGAUGAACCAUCACAAGACUGUGACAAAGGCAGAAAAACAUGGGGACCAAGCACACACAGAAAUGGUUGAUCCAGUCGGAGCUCUAACUGCUGGUUCAGCUAUCAGUCACAGCUCAGAAUACCAGAGGCUGGAGAAGCACAGGUUAAACUGUUCCUGUCUUGUUCCUGUCUUGUCUCACCCUCUUCACUGAUUCAGGCUGUAUGAAGCAGYAAGAAACAAGCCCACGUGAGUGCAUGAGCAAGCUUGCAUUUGGUGCUCCCAUGGAAUAUACCUGAAGUGUGAAGUUCCAUCCUUCACUUCUGCAGCCCUGGGAAAUGAUCUACACAAAAGAAUAAGAAAUGAAAGCUGCCUCUGCCAUCUUCUGUUUAAUUAACACAGGUAUACCAAUUUAAUGCAAUUAAUCAAGAUACUAUGGACUAAACAGUAACUCACAGCUGACAAUGACCAUGUUAUCAUUACUAUGGUGCAAGAAGGCUAGAAAAUGAUUGUGGUGACUAGAAACACUGUGGGUGAAAUUUUGGGGCAACUGAUUAUUCCUUUGGCAAGUGUUCACCUGCCCCUCUCCUUCCCCUUCUCUUCCCAGACCCUCCACAGUAACCCCCAGAAUGGCAACACCCUUUAAAGCAAUUCUUCUYUCCUCUAAUAGGUUCUUGAUGCUAAAGGUCUGACCUUAAAAUGAGCAGUGCACGGGGAAGACAGCCAGAACAGUUACUGGAGUGAGCUCCUGGCUUUCAACCCUUCCAAAUACAGCUAUUUGAGUAGCCAGUGCAGUAUAUCCACGAUGCAAGCUUGUUGCCCAGUUCCUGCUCACAACCAGGGAACGGCUGUAAGUCAAUGGAAAAAAAGAACAACGAGAAGUGCAAUCGCAGCCUCUGCUUGUGGUAUGACAGACUAUGCAGGCUCUGGGACUACCAUGCCAUCCUAUUCUACUCUGCUUUCAGGCUGCAAUUAGAAGUUGCAUUGGGAAGAAGCAACUUCCAUGCAAAGAUGUGGAUGGAACAUGAAUACUAUUCCAGUGUUAGUUUUUGGUGUCGAUUCCCAACUUAUAAAGAGAAGACGACUGCAAACGGCAAUAUCCUGGCAUUCAAGACAARUUCAGAGCGUUGUAAGCUGACGACCCAGUGCCAAAUAUGUAGGUGGUCUUCAGUCCACUUACUAGUGGAUAAGUGUUCUUUUUGUCACAAGUAUCUGCAGUCUUGUCAGUUGACUCAGCAGAAAGGUCUCGGAUUGACUGAACAUCAAGACAACUAUCUUUCUAUUCUGGCAGAUGUGAUGGAUGAAUCUGUUUUGUUGACCUAGGCCUGUCUAAAAGUGCUCCUCCUCAGCCCGUUCCAGGUAUGUGCACAGUAUAAAAACCUGGCCCUCAUCUUUAUAUUGGUAAAGGCAUUAAAUUGGAUAAUUAGACAAAAACUGCUUUCCUCCACAACUUCAGUUAAACAAAAAAUGUACCAGAUGUGAAAUCUAAGUAAUAAGAAAAGCAUUUAUGUUCCAGGAGCAAGAUAUAAUAGUCAACUGUAAAGGAAAAUAAAAUUACUGCAAAGUAAUUAGUGUGUCUGCCU
ensembl:lncRNA